rnacentral:tRNA from 1 species
UCCGGUGUGGUGUAUCGGUUUAUCAUUCCGCGUUUUCAAUUGCUCUGCUAUAAAAGCCGCGGCGAGCGGGGUUCGACUCCCCGCACCGGAG